GAUGAACGCUGGCGGCGUGCUUAAUACAUGCAAGUCGAGCGAACAGACGAGGAGCUUGCUCCUCUGACGUUAGCGGCGGACGGGUGAGUAACACGUGGAUAACCUACUUAUAAGACUGGGAAAACCUCGGGAAACCGGAGCUUAUACCGGAUAAUAUAUUGAACCGCAUGGUGCAAUAGUGAAAGUCGGCUUUGCUGUAUCUACUAGAUGGAUCCGCGCCGCAUUAGCUAGUUGGUAGGGUAACAGCCUACGACGGCGACCAUGCGUAGCCGAGCUGAGAGGCGGAUCGGCCACACGAGAGCUGAGACACGGUCCAGACGCCUACGGGAGGCAGCAGAAGGGAAUCUUCCGCAAUAGGCGGAAGUCUGGCGGAGCGACGCCGCGUGAGUGAUGAAGGUCUUCGGAUCGUAAAGCUCUGUUAUUAGGGAAGAACAGAUGUGUAAGUAAAUAUGCACGUCUUGACGGUAACUAAUCAAAAAGCCACGGCUAACUACGUG
rnacentral:rRNA from 1 species